UACAGAGGUCCCAAGCGUUGUUCGGAUUCACUGGGCGUAAAGGGUGCGUAGGUGGUGAGGUAAGUCGGAUGUGAAAUCUCCGGGCUUAACCCGGAAAUGGCAUUGGAAACUACCUUGCUUGAGGGUUUGAGGGGGGAUUGGAAUACUUGGUGUAGCAGUGAAAUGCGUAGAUAUCAAGUGGAACACCAGUGGCGAAGGCGAAUCCCUGGAAAAUACCUGACACUGAGGCACGAAAGCUAGGGGAGCAAACAGG
rnacentral:rRNA from 1 species